AACGAACGCUGGCGGCAUGCCUAACACAUGCAAGUCGAACGAGACCUUCGGGUCUAGUGGCGCACGGGUGCGUAACGCGUGGGAACCUGCCCUUAGGUUCGGAAUAACUCCCCGAAAGGGGUGCUAAUACCGGAUAAUGUCUUCGGACCAAAGAUUUAUCGCCUUUGGAUGGGCCCGCGUUGGAUUAGCUAGUUGGUAGGGUAAAAGCCUACCAAGGCGACGAUCCAUAGCUGGUCUGAGAGGAUGAUCAGCCACACUGGGACUGAGACACGGCCCAGACUCCUACGGGAGGCAGCAGUGGGGAAUAUUGGACAAUGGGUGAAAGCCUGAUCCAGCAAUGCCGCGUGAGUGAUGAAGGCCUUAGGGUUGUAAAGCUCUUUUACCCGGGAUGAUAAUGACGGUACCGGGAGAAUAAGCUCCGGCUAACUCCGUG
rnacentral:rRNA from 1 species